rnacentral:rRNA from 1 species
CCUGACCAUGCCACCCUGAAUGAUCUGGUCUGAUCUUAGAAGCUAAGCAGGAUCAGGCCUGGUUAGUACUUGGAUGGGAGAAUAUGAGGGUGUGUUAGCU